UCCCUGGAAAGGGGCGCCA
rnacentral:snRNA from 1 species